GCUGGAUUAGCUCAGCUGGUUAGAGCGUGUGGCUGUUAACCACAAGAUCUGAGAUUCGACCCCUCCUUUUAGCG
rnacentral:tRNA from 1 species